rnacentral:misc_RNA from 1 species
AGGUAUAGAAAGUAUUCCAAGCAUCAACCUCCAACUUGGUGAGGGCAUUAAAGACAUUCCAAAAACCAUACAAUAUGACAGAAACAUUCCUCCUGAACCGGUGAACUGAGGAAGGGUAUUUAACAUUCCCCUUAUAUCUGAUGGGGCAGUCUCAGAUAUAUACACUGGAACAAGUGUAACAGCUAAGCCAAUUGCAAAUCCAUCUAAAAGCCUUGCUAUGCACAGGAUGUAGACAUUUGGAGACAAAGCCAUUAUUAAACCACUAAUAAAGUAAAGCACUGAUGAAAUUAUUAGCAUUGGACGGCGACCAAGCCAAUCUGAAAUUGCUCCUGAGCAUGUUGUGAUUGCUGUGGCUCCAAUAAGUGACAUGGCCACAACUAGACCUUCCACUGUAGUUUGCAAAUCGAGGUCCUCCUUGAUGUAAACAAUAGCCCCAGCAAUAGUAGCAUUAUCCCAUCCUUGCAAGAAGCUACCAAUGCAUGCAGCAAUAGCCACCAAUACAGCGCCGUUCAUCUUUCAAACAAUGAAUCAAACUCCUAAUCUAGAACUAAACUAUUGAUAGCCCAAAUAGGUGAAGUGAGGCUUGAGACAAAAUAGUGAGCUCAAAGAAGAUACACAGCUCUAACAAAGGAACAAAGAUAGCGUUUUCCACAGGGAGAGAGUAAUCACAAGUAGGGGCUCAAGCCAAUGAAAGAUUCAGUUUCUGGCAGAGAGAAGAAAGAAACUGGCUCUGAUGACAACUGAAACUCAAGAUUAAUUAGACCCUCUUUCCCAACAACCCUUCCACAGCAACCC